UUUCUUGCACUUUUGUUGCUGCUUUUCCAAGGUUUAUAUUUCUUUUAAUUUCAGCUUAUUACCCACAACCAAUGUAUAUGCUCCAGCCACCAACAUCACAGCAACAGCAGUCGCAACAGACAAAUGUCAGUGUGACCUAUGGUCAACCAAGUACUCAAGUUGUUGUUGUGAAAGAACAAAUCAAUCACCUGCUCCAUUGUAUCAUCACCUUGUUCUUCCUACCUUGGAUCAUCAUUUGGAUCUGUGUGUGUAUUUGUGACAACUAAAGCUGGCUCUGGAGGAAACAAACCAAUUCAGUUUACGA
rnacentral:sRNA from 1 species